rnacentral:rRNA from 1 species
UACGUAGGUGGCAAGCGUUAUCCGGAAUUACUGGGCGUAAAGCGCACGCAGGCGGCGCAUCAAGUUCGACGUGAAAGCUCCCGGCUUAACUGGGAGAGGUCGUUGAAGACUGAUGGGCUUGAGGCAAUGAGAGGGGUGUAGAAUUCCCGGUGUAGUGGUGGAAUGCGUAGAUAUCAGGAAGAACACCCGUGGCGAAGGCGGCUCUCUGGGACGGUACUGACGCUGAGACGCGAAAGCGUGGGGAGCGAACAGG